ACAUACACGCGCAUGCACGUCUUUAUGAGCGAAAUAUUCUUCAGUACGAUGUUAAAGCCCAUUUCAGCUCACCUCACCUGGGAUUGUACUUCAGCAUGAGUUGCAUCUGUCACAGAAAUACCCUCUGUGUAGUGUAUGGUAUGUUUCAUACAGGAUACAAGUAGGAUAAAUAGAGUAUACCCAGGUGUGAUGUGUCAAACCAAGGCUCAUCUGUCAUACCAAGGCAUGUUCUGUCACACCAAGAUCUGAAGCUACAAGUUCAAGCCUGGUUUUCAAAGGAUUCACAGGUAUGAUCUGUCACAUCCAGGUAACAACUGUCAUACUCUGAUGAGUCAGUCAUAUCCAAGUGAGGUCUAUUAUACCUAUGAUAUAGUGAGGUCUGUCAUACCCAUGACAUGGUGAGGUCUGUCAUACCAAGGUAACGUCUUUCAUGCCUAUGACAUGGUGAGGUCUGUCAUACCCAUGACAUGGUGAGGUCUGUCAUACCCAUGACAUGGUGAGGUCUGUCAUACCAAUACCAUGGUGAGGUCUGUCAUACCCAUGACAUGGUUAGGUCUGUCAUACCAAGGUGAGGUCUGCCAUACCCAUGAUAUGGUGAAGUCACCAAGUUGAGCUGUCAUACCCAUGAUAUGGUGAGGUCUGCCAUACCCAUGAUAUGGUGAAGUCACCAAGUUGAGAUGUCAUACCCAUGAUAUGGUGAGGUCUGUCCUCUGCGGGGCGAGCAACGGAGGUGAGGUGUAAGUUUCAGCAACUACAAGGUGAAGCGGACGCAGAUCUUUGAUGAGUUUGUU